GGAGCCAAACCACAUCCAUUUCGUUAAGGAAGAGGGCAACAGAAGCGAGAGAGAGAAAGAGAGCAGCAUCAGAUUGAGUUUCAAUCAUGCAAAGCUCCACCCCUCAUGGGAAGACCUCUUGACCAUAAUUAGUAAGAAAGUAGGGAGAGGCUGCAGUGGAAUAAUAAAGAGUGAGAAUCCAAACCUGAACACAGUCACAGUCAAGGAGGACAGACCCGCCACCAGAGACUAUCGCGCCCACCGUGUCCGUGUUGUGGUAAAUGACUCCGACAUCUUCACCGAGGUCCCCACGGUUGGCUAAUCAAUGGUGUUAGCAAAAAAGAUAAUAUGAAUAAGCUCCUUAUAUGAGGAGCCCCUCUUGAAUGUGCAGAUGAAAUAAAAGAUGUUUACUUCCACUUUUGUCUUAACCUAGUUACCAUAUCUAUAUGUUUUAACUA